UUGUUGAAAAUCUCUUCAAAUGUUCUCGCUGGCUAUAGCUAGAUAUAGCAAGCGGAACAUUUGCACAAUUUUUAACA
rnacentral:pre_miRNA from 1 species